UUGUCCAUUCCCAAUAAAGUGUACUGUUAGAAAGGAAAGAUUAGGGGACUGUCACUACACAGGCAGUGGGCCAGGACUUCCAGUUAUUCCCAGGUGAGCCACAUAGUGUGGAAUCUUCAUUCAGUCUAUUUUUCCCCUUAGAAAUAUUUAUACUUUCAGAGAAAUUGAUAUUAUGGCAUUGAUUGUUUGCAUGGUGGCUCUUCCCUCUUCCAGAACAUACAAGUGCAGUCCUCGACCUGGUACAGCUAGACAGAGUAGAAUAGGGAAGAUACUUUUGAGGUGAGAAAGUCAGAUAGUAUGUGCUUGCAUCAUCCUCCAACAUUCAUUCUCAUCCCCAUAUUCUUUACAAAGAAUGCUUUGCAAAGGUGCUCCUCCACUAUCCCUCAUAUUCAGAUAAAAUCUGAAUUUACCCAUGAGUCGGAUCAGCUUUUCAUACCUCUAUCAUACUCUUUCCAUUUUUAGUAAAGGUUUUUGAUUCCAGUUUGAAGAUGGUAGGAGGUAUAUUAAGUCCAUAUGAUGUUAAGCUUCUUAUCUCAUUUUGCUACAUUAGCAGCAAUGGCAUGUCUCCUUGAUCUGUGAAAUGCAGUUGGUAGAAUCAAAUAGAAACACAAUCUGUUGUUCCAAAUCUUUGAGGGGAUUGACUUCAGUCAAAGCGUAAUAAAGCCCAAAGUAGUAAUCAUGCCUAUUCCAGUCAGAACCUGUUUGAAGUCACAUGGGGUCACUGGUAAGAGUUCCCCUAACCUACCUGCUAGCUAUUGUCCUUGAGAAUCUUACCCAAAGCCUUAUAAUCUUUUCCUCUUGGCAUUCUGGGAAGUGUUUUAUACAGGAGAAAAGAAUGUCACUUUUAUACCCAUCAUUUUUUUGUUUUUAUAGAAUUCCUUCCUCUUACAUGUUGUGAUUAUCCUAUUUGCUAUUUUUUUUUUUUUUUGGUUCAUCAGGUUGUUUAUACUUUGUCAACCAGUUUGGACAAAUAUCAAGAUAAUAAACUCAUUUAGGUGACAGAAUUACUUGAUUAU
rnacentral:lncRNA from 1 species